UUAACAUUUCAUCAAAACAAGAUCAGACUGAAAACUGUCGGAACAAAUGAGGGGUUUGAUGCUUUCCUCCCACAGGGUUGCCACAGCGAUCGGGUUGUCCCCCCGCUGGCAGGGAAGAACACGACAUGCGUAUGUCUUCCAACCCCACGGAAGCAACAGGACACAUACUCAGAGUGAAUAAAAGCAAAUGAGUGCGUGGCAGCUACUCAUACAUCGUAAUGAUCCUUCCGCAGGUUCACCUACGGAAA
rnacentral:misc_RNA from 1 species